UCCGCCAAAUCCCAUCCCCCCUCCAAAAAAAAAAAGGGAAAAACCCUAAGACUUCUCUAACCGAGUAACAGUUCGUAAAACCUCUGUUUUGAAAGGAUUAGAGAACUGUUAUACGACGAAUUCAAAUAAUUAGAGAAAUUGCUCUAAUCGUAAAAUUCAGCGAAUUAAAGAACGAAGUUGCUCGUCACCUCCAUUGACAACAACUGCUCAUCUUCGAGUUUCUUCUCAUCAAGAUCAAAAAUUUGAAGUCCGAAGAACCUAUCCUUGAAGAAAGUGUAGAGCAAGUUGAAGUACAAGAGGUUUUUGGUUCGUCGGCUAUGGUUUAAAGACACUGUCUUAUGUACAUAUAUAUGCUGCAAUUUUACUUUUUUUCUUUAUAGGAAUUGUUAAAAAUGAUGCUUAACUCACCUCACUUUAUGCUUCCAGAUGUCUCCUAACUGGGUUUGCGAUUUUUAUUUUUCAUUUAGUAAGAUGAGUUUGUUACGAUUUGGAUUGAUUUUUGGUAAAUAUGAUACUUUCUUUCUUUGUA